rnacentral:rRNA from 1 species
AGUGGACGCUGGCGGUAGGCCUAACACAUGCAAGUCGAACGGCAGCACAGGAGAGCUUGCUCUCUGGGUGGCGAGUGGCGGACGGGUGAGGAAUACAUCGGAAUCUACUCUGUCGUGGGGGAUAACGUAGGGAAACUUACGCUAAUACCGCAUACGACCUACGGGUGAAAGCAGGGGACCUUCGGGCCUUGCGCGAUUGAAUGAGCCGAUGUCGGAUUAGCUAGUUGGCGGGGUAAAGGCCCACCCAGGCGACGAUCCGUAGCUGGUCUGAGAGGAUGAUCAGCCACACUGGAACUGAGACACGGUCCAGACUCCUACGGGAGGCAGCAGUGGGGAAUAUCGGACAAUGGGCGCAAGCCUGAUCCAGCCAUACCGCGUGGGUGAAGAAGGCCUUCGGGUUGUAAAGCCCUUUUGUUGGGAAAGAAAUCCAGCUGGCUAAUACCCGGUUGGGAUGACGGUACCCAAAGAAUAAGCACCGGCUAACUUCGUGCCAGCCGCCGCGGUAA